AGAAAUCUCCGCCAUUAAGAUAAUAAAAAAAAAAUUAUAUUUUAUACUCGACAGAUAAAUUUUUUUUUUAAUAUUUCAACUUGGGGAUUGUAUGCUUGUCUGUUUUUAUAAGAUUAUCAAGAUGAAAUUUGAUGAAGAAGAGCUAUCAAGAAAACUAAAAAUACGAAAAUCGUUUUCUCCUUCUGCUUUAUAAAUUAUGCAUGAAAAGUACUUAUGUAGUAGAGAAGUCCCCUGCCAAUAACACUUCACUGCAAUACUUCGGAUAUUUGGGAGAACUUGGAAGAGAAUUUCUGUUUGAUGUUCAGUACUGUAUAAGUUUAAAUGGAAACUUUAACGUUAGAUAGAAAAUGGAAAAUACCGAAACAAUUUGAGUUACAAAAGAGACUUACGUAGUUAUGUAAAAUCGAAAAUUUAUCCAGAAUUAUAGGAGGAGGAAGAGGAGGAGGAGGAUGAGGAAAAGUUAAGAAUUAAUGAGAUAGAUAUAAUAACACAAAAGCGUAAUUAGAAGGAAGGUAAUAUUUGCAGCGGCUGUUAUCGAUCGAAAACGUUCCCAUCUCGAUCAACGCAUCGCUGCUUUGCCAAAUAAGUUGUCUGAUUUGACGAAGUGUUGCCAAGAUCGAGCUGACGUUUAAUGUUAAUGCAUUUCUCCAACCAGGCAGAAGGACACCGAGCAAAAGUAAAACUGCACAGUUUUGCACCUUAAUGCUGUUUUGCUGAAUUAAGUGGAAAAUUCUCUCUCACUCUGCCUUUAAAACAGUCUACGUCAUUCUAUCCUCUCAUUCCCUUUAUAUAUAAGCCUAUAUAUACACAGUAUAUAUGUUUAAUGUGUUUAUUUCUAAAGUAUUACACCAUUUUGC